rnacentral:rRNA from 1 species
CUGCAGCCCGAGUGGUGAUCGAUUUUAUUGAGCCUAAAGCGUCCGUAGCCGGACUAGUAAACCCUUGGGUAAAUGGGGCAGCUUAACUGUCCAAAUUCCGAGGGGACUGCUAGUCUUGGGACCGGGAGAGGUCAGAGGUACUCAAGGGGUAGGGGCUAAAUCCUGUAAUCCUUUGGGGACCACCAGUGGCGAAGGCGUCUGACUAGAACGGAUCCGACGGUAAGGGACGAAACCCUGGGGCGCGAACCGGAUUAGAUACCCGAGUAGUCC